UCCCUAUAUUCUUGAAAUAAA
rnacentral:piRNA from 1 species